rnacentral:lncRNA from 1 species
AAGAGGAGACCAUGACGGGAAGAUUACUAGAUUCUCUGACAAUGAUGAUGAAAAACACAUACGAUUCGAUCUGAAAUAAAAUUGGGUUUUGAAAUUGGGGAGAUGGCUGAGAAUGUUAUGGUCGAGGGCUGAGUGAGAGAGAAGUGGGGGCUCACGCGGGUGUUAGGGAGAGAUAGCUGAGGGCUCGAGAGUUUGCUGGGAGAGAGAGGCUGGGUGUUUAGAGAGAGAGCUAGCUAGGUGUUUUUGGGAUAUAGAGAGAGCUCAGAGGUACGAGGGAAUGAACAAGAAUGUUAUGUGUGGCUUGAAUGGUUGAGAGAGUGUGAUGUCGAGAGAGGGAUAAUUUAGUUGAGCUAUAGGUUUUGGUUGAGUCGUAGUUAUGUUUUUUUUAAGUGUUGGGGGGAGAAUUUAACUUUGGGCUGAAAUAUAGGAGGGAAAGGGUUGGGACAUUGAUGUUUCGGACACACGCCAAAAGUUGGCAUUCAUUUCAACAGAUAAUCACACAACGUAACAACUAUAAACAUGGUAUUGAUGGCUGAAAUUCCAAAACGACUUUGGCACGCUGCCAGAUUUUCCAGUCACACAACAGAAUGUUUUAAACUGUUGUAUAUAUUUUCUAAACUUGCAAUUGUAACAACAUCAUACAACAAAGAAAUAAAAGUCUAUUGUCCAAACAUUUUGCAUCUUGCACGACUUUCAAUUUGGUGAUGGGGGAAUCCUUCCGCCAAAAUUUUCAUAAAUCAUACAAGAGAAAAUUAGUAUCAUUGUUGUGUUUUGAACUCUUGAAAUAUAACCUGACAAUUUCGUGUCAUCAGACAACAAAACUUUGUAACUUUGCGUUGUAUAUAACGGUUCACUUCAUCAGACAAGUAGGGAACCCUAAAAGGUUGUCUGAUGAGUGUUGUCUGAUAACGUUUUUGUAGUAGUGUAUACAAGUAAAAGAUAUAUACUCCAUUUAUCUUUUUUUUGUUACAAGUAAUAGAGAGAUAUCAUUUUCCUCUUUUGUAGAUUUCUAUGGUUACUGGAUGGAGGAGAAAAUAAGAAGAACGAACUCAAAGAGGAGUCAUAAAGGUAUAAUAUAAGAGACUAACAUGAUCACACAUGAUACCAUAAGAGCAUUCAAGAGAACAACAUAAAAGGACAGCCAGUAAACAAGAUUCCAGCAAAACAUGGUCUAAAUAAAGCUACUGCACAUUGAUAACUAGGAGACAUUUAGCUACAUAACUGAAUUCUUAAUCAAUACACAGGGCAACAAUGAGGCUGCAGCAAUACGAACUAAUAACUGAAUUCUUUUUUGGUUCUUUACUAAUGAUGAGAACAGCAAGCUGACACAA